rnacentral:lncRNA from 1 species
UGUGGAUGUAAAUUUUCUCCUCCUCGAUCUUGGACGAUUUUGCACCUACAAAACAACUAGCACCUUAGGUUAAGGCCAAAAGCCUCAUGCGCCCUCGAUGAAUGGGGGGGGGCUUUGGUCGAAGAACCUCCGAUGCCAAAAUUAGAAUUUUAGAGAGAAAUAGUGUUUAGAGUAUUUGAGAUUUUUUGAAAGAGAAUUGGAAUGACUUUUUGGUGAGAAUAGGUGCCUAUUUAUAGGAUUAAG